GAUGAAGAACGCAGCGAAACGCGAUAGUUAAUGUGAAUUGCAGAAUUCAGUGAAUCAUCGAGUCUUUGAACGCAUAUUGCGCCCCCUGGUAUUCCGGGGGGCAUGCCUGUCCGAGCGUCAUUGCUGCCCAUCAAGCGCGGCUUGUGUGUUGGGCCGCCGUCCGCCUUCCCCCCCGGGGGGAGGGGGACGGGCCCGAAAGGCAGCGGCGGCACCGCGUCCGGUCCUCGAGCGUAUGGGGCUCUGUCACCCGCUCUGGAGGCCCGGCCGGCGCCCGCCGACCCCCAACCUUCUUCUAACCAGGUUGACCUCGGAUCAGGUAGGGAUACCCGCUGAACUUAAGCAUAUCAAUAAGCGGAGGA
rnacentral:misc_RNA from 1 species